GCCAGAGUUGCAUAGUGGUUUGUAUGUUGGACUAUGACUCUGGAGACCAGGGUUUGAUUCCCAGCUUGGUCA